CCUACGGGAGGCAGCAGUGAGGAAUAUUGGUCAAUGGGCGCGAGCCUGAACCAGCCAAGUAGCGUGAAGGAUGACUGCCCUACGGGUUGUAAACUUCUUUUAUAAAGGAAUAAAGUGAGGCACGUGUGCCUGUUUGGAUGUACUGUAUGAAUAAGGAUCGGCUAACUCCGUGCCAGCAGCCGCGGUAAUACGGAGGAUCCGAGCGUUAUCCGGAUUUAUUGGGUUUAAAGGGAGCGUAGAUGGGUUGUUAAGUCAGUUGUGAAAGUUUGCGGCUCCACCGUAAAAUUGCAAUUGAUACUGGCAGCCUUGAGUCCAGUUGCGGUAGGCGGAAUUCGUGGUGUAGCGGUGAACUGCUUAGAUAUCCCGAAGAACUCCGAUUGCGAAGGCAGCCUCCUACACUGCCUCUGACAUUGAUGCUCGAAAGUGUGGGUAUCAAACAGGAUUAGCUACCCUGGUAGUC
rnacentral:rRNA from 1 species